rnacentral:rRNA from 1 species
AUACGUAGGGGGCGAGCGUUGUCCGGAAUGAUUGGGCGUAAAGGGCGCGUAGGCGGCCCGGUAAGUCUGGAGUGAAAGUCCUGCUUUUAAGGCGGGAAUUGCUUUGGAUACUGUCGGGCUUGAGUGCAGGAGAGGUAAGUGGAAUUCCCAGUGUAGCGGUGAAAUGCGUAGAGAUUGGGAGGAAAACCAGUGGCGAAGGCGACUUACUGGACUGUAACUGACGCUGAGGCGCGAAAGUGUGGGGAGCAAACAGGAUUAGAUACCCUGGUAGUCCACACUGUAAACGAGGAAUGCUAUGUGUAGGGGGUAUCGACCCCUUCUGUGCCGCAGUUAACACAAUAAGCAUUCCGCCUGGGGAGUACGGCCGCAAGGUUGAAACUCAAAUGAAUUGACGGGG